rnacentral:rRNA from 1 species
GCUACCAUGCAGUCGACGAUGAAGCCCAGCUUGCUGGGUGGAUUAGUGGCGAACGGGUGAGUAACACGUGAGUAACCUGCCCUUAACUCUGGGAUAAGCCUGGGAAACUGGGUCUAAUACCGGAUAGGAGCGCCUACCGCAUGGUGGGUGUUGGAAAGAUUUAUCGGUUUUGGAUGGACUCGCGGCCUAUCAGCUUGUUGGUGAGGUAAUGGCUCACCAAGGCGACGACGGGUAGCCGGCCUGAGAGGGUGACCGGCCACACUGGGACUGAGACACGGCCCAGACUCCUACGGGAGGCAGCAGUGGGGAAUAUUGCACAAUGGGCGAAAGCCUGAUGCAGCGACGCCGCGUGAGGGAUGACGGCCUUCGGGUUGUAAACCUCUUUCAGUAGGGAAGAAGCGAAAGUGACGGUACCUGCAGAAGAAGCACCGGCUAACUACGUGCCAGCAGCCCGGGGG